rnacentral:rRNA from 1 species
CCCCGGGCUCAACCUGGGAACUGCGUUNUGAACUGGGUGACUAGAGUGUGUCAGAGGGAGGUAGAAUUCCACGUGUAGCAGUGAAAUGCGUAGAGAUGUGGAGGAAUACCGAUGGCGAAGGCAGCCUCCUGGGAUAACACUGACGUCCAUGCCCGAAAGCGUGGGUAGCAAACAGGAUUAGAUACCCUGGUAGUNCACGCCCUAAACGAUGUCGAUUAGCUGUUGGGCAGCAUGACUGCUUAGUAGCGAAGCUAACGCGUGAAAUCGACCGCCUGGGGAGUACGGUCGCAAGAUUAAAACUCAAAGGAAUUGACGGGGACCCGCACAAGCGGUGGAUGAUGUGGACUAAUUCGAUGCAACGCGAAGAACCUUACCUGGUCUUGACAUGUACGGAACCCUCCAGAGACGGAGGGGUGCCUUCGGGAGCCGCAACACAGGUGCUGCAUGGCUGUCGUCAGCUCGUGUCGUGAGAUGUUGGGUUAAGUCCCGCAACGAGCGCAACCCUUGUCAUUAGUUGCCAUCAUUAAGUUGGGCACUCUAAUGAGACUGCCGGUGACAAGCCGGAGGAAGGUGGGGAUGACGUCAAGUCCUCAUGGCCCUUAUGACCAGGGCUUCACACGUCAUACAAUGGUCGGUACAGAGGGUAGCCAAGCCGCGAGGUGGAGCCAAUCUCACAAAACCGAUCGUAGUCCGGAUUGCACUCUGCAACUCGAGUGCAUGAAGUCGGAAUCGCUAGUAAUCGCAGGUCAGCAUACUGCGGUGAAUACGUUCCCGGGUCUUGCACACACCG